GCGAAAGUGGCGGAAUUGGCAGACGCGCAAGAUUCAGGUUCUUGUGGGCUUUGGCCCGUGGGGGUUCAAGUCCCCCCUUUCGCACUA
rnacentral:tRNA from 1 species